UUCCUGAUCUCAGCGGGAAUUCUUUUAGCUUUUCACCAUUGAGAAUGAUGUUAGCUGUGGGUUUGUCAUAUAUGGGCUUUAUUAUGUUGAACUAGGUUCCUGCUAUGCCCACUUUCUGAAGGGUUUUUAUCAGAAAUGGGUGUUGGAUUUUGUCAAAGGCUUUUUCUGCAUCUAUUGAGAGGAUCAUAUGGUUUUUAUUCUUCAGUUUGCUAACGUGGUGACUGAUGGAUUUGCGGGUGUUGAAGAACCCUUGCAUCCCUAGGAUAAAUCCCACCUGAUCAUGAUGUACAAUCCUUUUAAUGUAUUGUUGGAUGCGGUUUGCUAGUAUUUUGUUGAGGAUUUUUGCAUCAAUGUUCAUCAGUGAAACUGGCCUGUCAUUUUCUCUUUUUGUGAUAUCUUUGUCUGGUUUUGGUACCAGGGUGAUGGUGGCCUCAUAGUAUGAGUUUGAGAGUGUUCCUUCCUCUGCAAUGUUUUGGAAUAGUUUCAGAAGGAUAGGUAUUAGCUCUUCUCUAGAUGUUUGAUAGAAUUCACCUGUGAGGCCAUCUGGUCCUGGACUUUUAUUUUUUGGGAGUUUUUAAAUCACAGUUUCAAUUUCAGUAUUUGUGAUUGGUCUGUUUAUCUUUUCUAUUUCAUCUUGGUUUAGCCUUGGAAGUUUGUACUUUUCUAAGAAUUUGUCCAUUUCAUUGGCAUAUAAUUGCUUGUGGUAAUCUCUUAUGAUCCUUUGUAUUUCUGUGAUGUCUUUGUUACUUCUCCUUUUUCAUUUCUAUUUUAUUGAUUUGAGUCCUCUCUCUUUUUUGCUUGAUAAGUCUGGCUAGGGGUUUAUCAAUUUUGUUGAUCUUUUCAAAAAACCAGCUUUUAGUUUCAUUGAUCUUUUCUGUAGUUUUCUUCAUUUCUAUUUCAUUGAUUUCUGCUCUGAUCUUUAUGAUUUCUUUCCUUCUGCUAACUUUAGGUCUUGUCUGUUGUUCUCUCUCUAGCUGCCUUAGAUGUAAAGUUAGGAUGUUUAUUUGAGCUUUUUCUUGUUUCCUGAAGUAGGCUUGUAUUGCUAUAAACUUCCCUCUUAGAACUGCUUUUGCUGCAUCCCAUAGGUUUUGGAGUGUUGUAUCUUUAUUGUCAUUUGCAUCUAGGUAUUUUUUAAAUUUUCUCUUUGAUUUCUUCAGUGAUCCAUUGGUUGUUUAGUAUCGUGUUGUUUAGUCUCCACGUGUUUGUGUUUUUUGCAGUUUUUUUCUUGUUGAUUUCCAGUUGCAUAGCAUUGUGGUUGGAAAAGUUGCUUGAUAUUAUUUCAAUUUUCUUAAAGUUACAGAGGCUUGAUUUGUAGCCCAGGAUGUGAUCAAUCUUAGAGAAUGUUCCAUGUGCACUUCAGAAGAAUGUGUAUUCUGUUGCUUUUGGAUGAAAUGUCCUAUAAAUAUCUAUUAAGUCCAUCUGGUCUAAUGCUUCAUUCAGGGUCUGUUUCCUUAUUGAUUUUCUGUCUGGAUGAUCUGUCCAUUGUUGUAAGUGGAAUGUUAAAGUCCCCCAUUAUUAUGUUACUGUCAAUUUCUUCUUUUAAGGUUGUUAGCAGUCGCCUUACAUAUUGUGGUGAUCCUAUGUUGGGUGCGUAAAUACUUAAAAUUGUUAUAUCUUCUUCUUGGAUUGAUCCUUUGAUCAUUAUAUAUUGUCCUUCUUUUUCUCUUAAAAUGUUCUUCAUUUUAUUUAUUUAUUUAUUUUUGUCUUUUUGCCAUUUCUUGGGCCACUCCUUCUGCAUAUGGAGGUUUCCAGGCUAGGGGUCGAAUCGGAGCUGUAGCCACUGGCCUACACCAGAGCCAGAGCAACACGGGAUCCAAGCCGCGUCUGCAACCUACACCACAGCUCAUGGCAAUGCCAGAUCCUUAACCCACGGAGCAAGGCCAGGGAUCGAUCCCGCAACCUCAUGGUUCCUAGUUGGAUUCGUUAACCACUGCACCAUGACGGGAACUCCUGUUCUUCAUUUUAAAAUCUAUUUUGUCUGAUAUGAAUAUUGCUGCUCCAGCUUUCUUUUGAUUCCCAUUUGUAUGGAAUAUUUUCUUCUACCCUCUUACUUUCAAUUUGUAUGUGUCUGUAGAAAUGAAGUGGGUGUCUUGAGGACAGCAUAUAUAUGGGUCUUAUUUUUGUAUCCAUUCAGCCAGUCUAUGUGUUUUGAUUGGGGCAUUUAGUCCAUUUACAUUUAAGGUAAUUAUUCAUAUGUAUGUUCUUAUCGCCAUUUUAUUAACUGUUUUGGAUUUGGUUUUGUUGCUCUUUUUUCUUCCCUUCUUUUGUUCUCUCCUCUUGUGGUUUGAUGACUAUCUUUACUGUUGUAUUUGAGUUGAUUUUUCUUAUUUGUUUGUGUAUAAAUUGUAGAUUUUUGGUUUGCAGAUGUCCUGAAGUUUUGAUAUAGGAGUCUAUAUAUAUAUGAGAUUGUUUUAAGUUGUUGGUCACUUAAUUGCAAGUGCAUCUCCAGUGUCCUGUAUUUGCACCCUCCUCUUCUCAGGACUUCUGAUUUUGGUAGCAUAAUUAUGCAUGGAUGAUUUUUUAUCUUUACUGUAUAUAUGCCUUUACUGGUAAGCCUUGUCAUUUGUGGUAUUUUUGUUUCUGAAUGUGGCCUUUUCUUUUCUGCCUAGAGAAGUUCCUUUAGUAUUUGUUGCAAAGCUGGUUUAGUGUUGCUGAAUUCUCUUAGCUUUUGCUUAUCUGUAAAGCUUUUGAUUUCUCCUUCAAAUCUGAAUGAGAGCCUUGCUGGGUAAAGUAAUCUUGGUUGGACAUUUUUUUCUUUUCUCACAUUAAGUACAUCAUGCCACUUCCUUCCAGCCUGCAGAGUUUCUGCUGAAAAAUCUGCCAAUAACCUUACUGGGGUUCCCUUGUAUGUUACUUGUUUCUUUUCCCUAGCUGCUUUCAUUAUUUUCUCUUUGUCUUUAAUUUUGGUCAGUUUGAUUAAUAUGUGUCUCAGGGUGUUCCUCCUUGGGUUUAUUUUAUAUGGUACUCAUUGGGCUUCCUGGAUUUGAGUGAGUGGUUCCUUUCCCAUGUUAGGGAAGUUUCUGGCUAUUAUAUCUUUGAAUAUUUUUUCUUUCCCUUUCUCUCUUUCUUCUCCUUCUGGUGCCCCUACAAUAUGGAUUUUGGUGCAUUUAACAUUGUCCCAGAGUUCUCUGAGACUCUCUUCAUUUUUUUUUUAUCUGAUUUCUCUUUUCUGUUCACAUCGGCGAUUUCCAUUAGUUUGUCUUCCACCUUGCUUAUUUGUUCUUCUCCCUCCUGUAUUCUACUGUUGGCUACUUCUAAUGAAUUUUUUAUUUCAGUUAUUGUAGUUUGCAUCUCUGCUUACUUAAGUUUUAAAUCUUGUAUUUCUUUGCUCAGUGUUUCUUGUAAAUUAUCCAUCUUUGCCUCCAGUUUAUUUCCAAUGUAUUGCAUCAUCUUCAGCAUCAACAGUCUAAAGUCUUUUUCCUGGAGGCUUAUAAUCUCCAGAUCACUUAGCUGUUUUUCUUUUUUUCUUUUUUCUUUCUCCCUUAUCUGAGUUAUAGUUCUCGGAGUGGUGUCCUUUUUGCAGACAAGAGAGUUGUAGCCUCUCUUACUUCUGAUGUCUGCCCCUCUUGCGGCUGAAGUUGGUACGGGGGCUUGCUGUAGGCUUCUUGAUGGGAGGGACUGGUGCCUACCCACUGGUAGGUGCAACUGAUUCCUAUCCCUCUGGUGGGUGGGGCUCUGUCUCUUGGUGAGAUUAUAUGUGGUUGUAUGCUUGGUUGGGGUCUUUAGGCAGACUGUUUACUGAUGGGUGGGGCUGGGACCCCACCUGGCUUAUUGUUUGGCUUGGGGCUUCUCAGCACUGCUGGAUGGGGCCAGAUUUUCCUCAAAUGGCCACCUCCAGAGAAACACAUGCUGAUGAAUAUUCCCGAGAGCUUUUCCUCCAGUGUCCUUUCCCCACAAUGAGCCACAGUCACCCCUUUUUUUCCCAGGAGAUCCUCCAAGAACUGCAGUCAGGUCUGACCCAGAUUGCUAUGGAACCUCUGCUUUGCCCUGGGACCCAGUGCACAUGAAAGUCUGUGUGUGCCUUUCAAGAACAGGGGUCUCCAUUUCUCCCAGUCCCGUAGAACUCCUGUGCACAAGCCCCACUGGCCUUCAAUGCCAGAUGCUCUGGGGGCUCUUUCUCCCAAUGCCAGAUCCCCAGGCAUGGGUAUUUGACAUGGGGCUCAGAACUCUCACUCCUGUAGGUGAGUCUCUGUGAUACACUUACCUUCCAGUCUGUGGGCUUCCCACCCAGGAGGUACGGGGUUGCUUAUAUCACAUAAUCACCCCUCCUACCUCUUGAUGUGGCUUCCUUUUUGUCUUCUGGAGUAGGAUAUAUUUUUGAAAGUUUCCUGUCCAUUUAAUUGAAUGUUGCUCAGCAUUUGGUUGUAAUUUUGUUGUUUUUAUGAGAGUCGAGCUCUAGUCCUUCUAUUCCACCAUCUUAAUCCUGUCUUCCCCUAUUACUUUCAGAAUUCUUGAUCAAAAUGCCAAUACCAGAGUUCCUGUCAUGCUCAGUGGUUAAUAAACCUGACUAGUAUCCAUGAGGAUGAGGGUUCAAUCCCUGGCUUUGCUCAGUGGAGUAAGGAUCAGGCGUUGCCAUGAGCCGUAGUGUAGGUUGCAGACACAACUCGGAUUUCACAUUGCUGUGGUUGUGGUGUAGGCCGCCAGCUACAUCUCUGAUUGGACCCCUAGCCUGGGAACCUCCAUAUGUCUUGGGUACAGCCCUAAAAAGACAAAAAGACACACACACACACACACACACACACACACAUACACACACACA
rnacentral:lncRNA from 1 species